GAUGAACGCUGGCGGCGUGCCUAAUACAUGCAAGUCGAACGAACAGACGGGGAGCUUGCUCCUCUGACGUUGGCGGCGGACGGGAGAGUAACACGUGGAUAACCUACCUAUGAGACUGUGAAAACUUCGGGAGACCGGGUCUAAUACCGGAUAAUAUAUUGAACCGCAUGGUGCAAUAGUGAAAGACGCUUGUGCGGUCGCUUAUAGAUGGCUACGCGUCGGAUUAGCUGGUGGGUAAGGUGGCGGCUUACGAAGGCAAGGAUGGGUAGCCGACCUGAGCGCGUGAUCGCACACCCGGGAAGAGAGAAAGGGCCCAGACUCUUACGGUAGGCAGCAGUAGAGAAUCUUCCGCAAUGGGGGAAAGCCUGAUGGAGCAAAGCGGCGUGAGUGAUGAAGGUGUUCGGAUGGUAAAGCUCUGUUAUUAGGGAAGAACAAAUGUGUAAUUAACUAUGCUCGUCUUGACGGUACCUAAUCAGAAAGCCCCGGCUAACUACGUG
rnacentral:rRNA from 1 species